rnacentral:tRNA from 1 species
GCCCGGAUAGCUCAGUUGGUAGAGCAAAGGACUGAAAAUCCUUGUGUCGGUGGUUCGAGUCCGCCUCCGGGCACCA